UGGGGAAUAUUGGACAAUGGGCGCAAGCCUGAUCCAGCCAUGCCGCGUGGAUGAUGAAGGCCUUAGGGUUGUAAAAUCCUUUCGUUGGGGACGAUAAUGACGGUACCCAAAGAAGAAGCUCCGGCUAACUUCGUGCCAGCAGCCGCGGUAAUACGAAGGGGGCUAGCGUUGUUCGGAUUUACUGGGCGUAAAGCGCGUGUAGGCGGGUCGUUAAGUUGGGGGUGAAAUCCCGAGGCUCAACCUCGGAACUGCCUUCAAAACUGGCGACCUGGACCUAAGUAGAGGCAAGUGGAAUUGCGAGUGUAGAGGUGAAAUUCGUAGAUAUUCGCAGGAACACCAGUGGCGAAGGCGACUUGCUGGACUUAUGGUGACGCUGAGACGCGAAAGCGUGGGGAGCAAACAGGAUUAGAUACCCCCGUAGUCCCUGAGCGGGCUGGCAAGGCGCAU
rnacentral:rRNA from 1 species